rnacentral:pre_miRNA from 1 species
GUAGUAUUCCCUCCGUCUCAAAAUUCUUGUCUUACAUUUGUUUAGAUACGGAUGUAUCUAACACUAAAAUGUAACUAGAUACAUCCGUAUUUAGACAAAUUUAAGACAAUAAUUUUGGGAUGGAGGGAGUACAAA